UCCCUGAUGGUCCAGUGGUUAGGAUGUGGUACUCUCACUGCUUGGAGCCCAGGUUCAAUCCCUGAUCAGGGAA